UCCGUGAAAAAUACGCAAGAGGCUGCCAC
rnacentral:sRNA from 1 species